GAUGAACGCUGGCGGCGUGCUUAACACAUGCAAGUCGAACGAUGAAGCCCAGCUUGCUGGGUGGAUUAGUGGCGAACGGGUGAGUAACACGUGAGUAACCUGCCCUUAACUCUGGGAUAAGCCUGGGAAACUGGGUCUAAUACCGGAUAGGAGCGUCCACCGCAUGGUGGGUGUUGGAAAGAUUUAUCGGUUUUGGAUGGACUCGCGGCCUAUCAGCUUGUUGGUGAGGUAAUGGCUCACCAAGGCGACGACGGGUAGCCGGCCUGAGAGGGUGACCGGCCACACUGGGACUGAGACACGGCCCAGACUCCUACGGGAGGCAGCAGUGGGGAAUAUUGCACAAUGGGCGCAAGCCUGAUGCAGCGACGCCGCGUGAGGGAUGACGGCCUUCGGGUUGUAAACCUCUUUCAGUAGGGAAGAAGCGAAAGGGACGGUACCUGCAGAAGAAGCACCGGCUAACUACGU
rnacentral:rRNA from 1 species